rnacentral:rRNA from 1 species
GGGGAAUAUUGCACAAUGGGCGCAAGCCUGAUGCAGCGACGCCGCGUGGGGGAUGAAGGCCUUCGGGUUGUAAACUCCUUUCAACCAUGACGAAGCAUUAUGUGACGGUAGUGGUAGAAGAAGCACCGGCUAACUACGUGCCAGCAGCCGCGGUAAUACGUAGGGUGCGAGCGUUGUCCGGAAUUACUGGGCGUAAAGAGCUCGUAGGUGGUUUGUCGCGUCGUCUGUGAAAUUCCGGGGCUUAACUCCGGGCGUGCAGGCGAUACGGGCAUAACUUGAGUGCUGUAGGGGAGACUGGAAUUCCUGGUGUAGCGGUGAAAUGCGCAGAUAUCAGGAGGAACACCAAUGGCGAAGGCAGGUCUCUGGGCAGUAACUGACGCUGAGGAGCGAAAGCAUGGGUAGCGAAC